rnacentral:rRNA from 1 species
UACGAAGGGGGCUAGCGUUGUUCGGAAUUACUGGGCGUAAAGCGCGCGCAGGCGGCUCUCCAAGUCAGUGGUGAAAGCCCGGAGCUCAACUCCGGAACUGCCAUUGAAACUGUUUAGCUUGAGUACGAGAGAGGUGAGUGGAAUUCCCAGUGUAGAGGUGAAAUUCGUAGAUAUUGGGAAGAACACCAGUGGCGAAGGCGGCUCACUGGCUCGUAACUGACGCUCAGGCGCGACAGCGUGGGGAGCAAACAGG